CCUACGGGUGGCAGCAGUGGGGAAUAUUGGACAAUGGGGGCAACCCUGAUCCAGCCAUGCCGCGUGUGUGAAGAAGGCCCUCGGGUUGUAAAGCACUUUCAGUGAGGAAGAACGCCUGGUGGUUAAUACCCAUCAGGAAAGACAUCACUCACAGAAGAAGCACCGGCUAACUCCGUGCCAGCAGCCGCGGUAAUACGGAGGGUGCGAGCGUUAAUCGGAAUUACUGGGCGUAAAGCGCGCGUAGGUGGCUUGAUAAGCCGGUUGUGAAAGCCCCGGGCUCAACCUGGGAACGGCAUCCGGAACUGUCAAGCUAGAGUGCAGGAGAGGAAGGUAGAAUUCCCGGUGUAGCGGUGAAAUGCGUAGAGAUCGGGAGGAAUACCAGUGGCGAAGGCGGCCUUCAGGACUGACACUGACACUGAGGUGCGAAAGCGUGGGUAGCAAACAGGAUUAGAUACCCUGGUAGUC
rnacentral:rRNA from 1 species